GCCGUGCCAUGCAGAUAUACCGGUUCUCGUUCGAUCACCGAAAGUCAAGCAUCAGUGGGCGCGGUCAGUGGGUGACCACCUGGGAACACCGCGUGCCGUU
rnacentral:rRNA from 1 species